rnacentral:rRNA from 1 species
UACGGAGGGUGCAAGCGUUGUCCGGAUUUACUGGGCGUAAAGGGCGCGUAGGCGGCGCAACAAGUCACUUGUGAAAUCUCCGGGCUUAACUCGGAGCGGCCAAGUGAUACUGUCGUGCUAGAGUGCGGAAGGGGCUACUGGAAUUCUCGGUGUAGCGGUGAAAUGCGUAGAUAUCGAGAGGAACACCUGCGGCGAAGGCGGGUAGCUGGGCCGACACUGACGCUGAGGCGCGAAAGCUAGGGGAGCGAACGGG